rnacentral:misc_RNA from 1 species
GAUGAAGAACGUAGUGAAAUGCGAUAAUUAAUGUGAAUUGCAGAAUUUAGUGAAUCAUCGAAUCUUUGAACGCACAUUGCGCCCCCUGGUAUUCCGGGGGGCAUGCCUGUCCGAGCGUCAUUACAACCCUCAAGCUCAGCUUGGUGUUGGGCCCCGCCGCCCCGGCGGGCCCUAAAGUCAGUGGCGGUGCCGUCCGGCUCCGAGCGUAGUAAUUCUUCUCGCUCUGGAGGUCCGGUCGUGUGCUCGCCAGCAACCCCCAAUUUUUUUCAGGUUGACCUCGGAUCAGGUAGGGAUACCCGCUGAACUUAAGCAUAUCAAUAAGCGGAGGA